UAGACUGAUGGAGCAAUUGAGAUCUGCGGAGAGGGCAGUCGGGAACGGCGAGGGGAAGAGAUAUGGUUUGGCAAAUAAAAGACAGCGCCGGGCUGCUGCAAACGCUUCUCCUUAUGAUGCCUCAUUAGGGCUCGGGGCUGCAGAUAGCGCCUGUUACGGAGAUCUACGGCCUCGGCGCCGGGAGAGAAACAGAAGGGCUGAAAGAGAGAAGAGGCGCGCGGCCCGGGGCGAGAAGCGUCGUAAUGGGCGGCAAAAAUCAUAAAAUGAAUCUGCGGGAAAUGAAGCAAAAUCAAAUAUUUAUGAAGCAAAAAGUCAACUUUUGCUUUGUGAAAUCAAGCGCGACAUCAGGCGCCUUUGAUUGCUCUCGGAAUUGUUUGUUGUCCGAUGACCCGAGAUGAGUCACAGCCUAUCUAGCACCAUUUCGCAAGCAUUUCACUUUUUUUUCCAAUCUAUAGACUAUCGUUUCAUCUUAAUUUAACUUACCCCCGACAUUUUAACAUCUACUCGGAUAGCAACAGUCAAACGUUGAUACCCAAACCAUCCACGAAUACCUCAUACAUUCAGAGAGAGGAGAUUUCUUCUCUCAUUUAAAAAAAUAAAAUACAAAAUAAACAACCUCCAGGUUUAAGAC